UACGAAGGUGGCAAGCGUUGUUCGGAUUUACUGGGCGUACAGGGUGCGUAGGCGGUUGGGUAAGCCCUUCGUGAAAUCUCCGGGCCUAACCCGGAAAGUGCGGAGGGGACUGCUCGGCUAGAGGAUGGGAGAGGAGCGCGGAAUUCCCGGUGUAGCGGUGAAAUGCGUAGAGAUCGGGAGGAAGGCCGGUGGCGAAGGCGGCGCUCUGGAACAUUUCUGACGCUGAGGCUCGAAAGCGUGGGGAGCAAACAGG
rnacentral:rRNA from 1 species